rnacentral:tRNA from 1 species
GGGAUAGCUCAGAGGUAGAGCAAUACAAAUUGCAGGUUCGAAUCCUGCUUCC